rfam:Drosophila ananassae strain TSC#14024-0371.13 Ctg01_19610, whole genome shotgun sequence.
GAAUCGGCUCUUUUCAGAGCCACCAAGAGAUUAUUAAAAGAGAUUU